CGGCGCUGGCGCAGGCGCAGCGUCUCUCUCAUCAUCAGCAGCAGCGUCAGGAGGCGAGCUCGGGCUCGGCCAGUCCAGCGUUGUAGUUUUUCGCAGUUUCUGUCGUUUAUAUUAGUGGAGUUUGUAGCUAAAACAAGUGGAGAAAGCGGAAAACAGAGCUUUAACCCCACUAACAGGAAAAUACCGCCCUCUACAGAGCAGCUUCACCCCAGUACUGAGGUGGUAAAAUGUUGCUGGGCAAACAUUUUUCUCUGCAAGUUUUCUCUGCAAGUCACUGACACCACUGCACAUCGUGGUCCGACCAUCUUUUCUAAUGUUGUUCCAGACGUGAGUACCUCCUCCCUUUUUAUUUUGCACUGGAUUCUUAAAAUAAGCAAAAUGAUCUGUCAGUGGACUAU
rnacentral:lncRNA from 1 species